UCUCUCUCUCUCUCUCUCUCUCUCUCUCUCAAUGAGAUUCCAAUUGAUCCAAAAACCUCGAAACGGCGCCGCCACGCCUGAAGACAAAGAUGACGACGACGAAGAAGUUCCGAUCGGACUCUGAUUCUCUACUCGUCUCAAAAACCGAAUGCUCGCAGCGAGGCCUCUGGUUUCUCUGUGAACUUAACCUCGUGCUCGUACUUCAGCGGCGGAAUUUCAUGCGAGUCAAGCAGAGUCUCAAUUGGAUCUGAGAGUGAGGUGAGGUCGAUUUGAAGAAGAGAAGUUUCGGCGAAACGAAGCCGCUUCGAAAACUUACUCGAUCGAGUUAUGGAGGAAAGGCGAUGAAGUUGAGCUUUCAGAGUUGUCGUGCGUGGAGUGUACAUAGCUUUUUGCGGUCGCACGAUAAUCAUCAACGGCCAGGCUUAGAAGGUAAGAACUUACAAGGAACAAAAAGAGCGAAUCCAAUCCAAAUCCUAGAAGACCCUUCCAGACUCCGGUUAUUCUCUACUCUGAUUCUGGUUUUCACCUCUGUGUUUUGGGACAAAUCAUAGUGUACAGUGUACAAUUGUAUUUACCAUGUAUCAAUUUGACUGCAGGAAAGUUGCAAUUAUCAAUUUGGAUCCAGCUAAGGAUUUAUUACUGUAUCAUCUUCGAUUUGUUUAGCUUUUAGUUAAUAUUUUAUAGUAUGUGAAACCUUAAGUUAAAAUGCAGGUAUGAAUGUGCUGUGAACGUAGCUGAAGACUAAGAGUGGAAUUUUAAAGAAUUCUUCCCUUUUGCAUUUGUAGUGGUAGAUUUCGAAACUGAUGUGAAUUUGGAUAUUGAAAUUUCCAUUGGCCAAGAGAUCAUUCGGCUAACCAAGAAAUGUGGAAAUGAAGUCUCGUGCUGAUAGUAACUUUAUAUAACUAUUGUAAUAGAUUUUCACAACUAUAUUAAUGGCUUUUUACAACAAUGAAAGUAGCUUUUUACAUAAUUAUAUCAUUGUUGAACCCGAGAUACUUUUUGUAUCAUUGAAUAUGAUUUGUUUUCUUGAUUGUA